rnacentral:lncRNA from 1 species
AAACACCCAAGAAUUAUCAAUAAAAAAAUAAAUUAAAAAAAAAAAUAAAUAAAUAAAUCCAGCAAAAAUAAAAAUAAAAAAUAAAAUCCCCUUGAAUACAUUUGAGGUAAUGUUGUAGUUUUCAGCUCCUCCCACGAGAGAUUUUAUGGAGUGCCUAACUGUGCUACCCGGGUGCUGCUCCUGUCGUUAGUGGUGGCACCCAGGAGGAAUUAAAAUUACAAGAGUGUUUCCUUCCAGAUGUUGUUGCUACAGGCUCAAGGUGCUCUUUUAACUGGGACAUCAGGCUUUCUUGAAAUAGACAAGAAUUCUAGAAACAUGACAUUGUGCCUGAUUCAUCGCUUCAACUUGCCACUGACUCAUUCUCUCCUUGAUAGGUUAUUCAACAGUAACUUUAAUUACAUCAUUUACUUAUUGUUUUCUUCCUUGAUUUAUUCUCUUUCUACAAUUCUUGUUUAUCAUCUCAGUGAUUGGACCAUCUCACCUCUGAGACUUGGGUAGAAUUCUGUGGACUCUGGAAAUAGACAUGGAGGUUUUCAUGUAUCUCUGUUAAUGUGUACAAACACCCCCAGGCUUGUACACUUGAAAUACAUCAGUAGGAAGGGUAGUUCUCAAUUUGCUAGUGUUUCACACAGCUUGUCUUAUUUAAUGAUCUCAGCUGCCCUAUGAAGUAGAUACCAUCCUAUUAAAAAAUGCAGGAGCAGAGGCUCUGAGAGGGGACUGUAACUUACCCAAGAUCAUGUGGUAGAUUGCAAAACUGGUUCCAAAUCCCUACCCUUCCCUGUACGCACACCUUUUGCCAUUCAUCUGCAAUGUCCUUUUCUGAUUCUGGGCUCAGCAAUAUAACUUGCUCUGGCCAACAGGAUAACAACAGCAAAUGUGAUGUAAGCAAAAGCUUGAGAAAUACUUGUGCAACUAAUCAUGUUUGCCUUCUCUCUUGUACCUGUGCCAUUGCCAUGAGAACAUGCCUGGGCUAGGAUUAGAGACACUUGGAGCAGAGCUGAGUCAUCCCAGCUGUCCCAGUUGAGGCCAGCCUAGGUCAGUCGAUGGCAACCAAGCCCUAAGCAUGUUAGUGAGCCCAGCCAUGAUCAGCACAACCACCUAGCCAACCAUCCCAGACCUGUGAUCAAUAAAGCCUUACUAUUCCAUACCACCUAGGUUUUGUGAUUAUUUAUUUCACAGAAUUAUUAUGGCAGUAUGUAACUGAUAGAAGCGGUGUACAGGGAAGAGUAUUUGUUAGUCCGUUUUCACACUGCUGAUAAAGACAUAUGCGAGACUGAGCAAUUUACAAAAGAAAGAGGUUUAAUGGACUUACAGUUCCACGUGGCUGGGGAAGCCUCACAAUUGUGGUGAAAGGUGAAAGUCACAUCUCACAUGGCAGCAGACAAGAGAAGAAGAGCUUGUGCAGGGAAACUCCCCUUUUAAAAACCAUCAGAUCUCAUGAUACUUAUUCACUAUCAUCAGAAUAGCCUGGGAAAGACCUGUCCCCAUGAUUCAGUUACUUCCCACCGUGUCACUCCCACAACAAGUGGGAAUUCAAGAUGAGAUUUGGGUAGGGACACAGCAAAACCAUAUUAGAGCAGAUCUCUGGAAUUGGGCAGGCCAAGGUUUGAAUCCCAUCUGUUAUUUGGAGUGUGUGUUUCUUUUUGAGACUAAUCUCCUUACCCUUGAAAUGAGGUAAUAUACUUCCCUCAUAGGGUUGCUGGGAAGAUUAAACACGAGGUGAAGUAAAUAAAGCCCCAGGGACAUAAGCAAAAAAUAAUGGCUUCUCACAGCAAUGCUCCAGAACAUACAACAAGGGAAUACUGGGCCCAGUCCCAGGACUAUCCAAGUGUGAAGCCAACACCUUUUCACAUCAACUCCAAGGUAAGGAUUAAGAACAGAAUGGCCUGGUUCUAAUCUUACCAUGAAAUGCUGCUCCCCUGAAUCUUCCAUUGCAGUAUAGAGAGCAGGACAGGCCUUUAAAAAAUUAAUGUUGCUUAAAUUUAGGAGCCUGAAAAAAAAGCCAAAUCCAAGAUUUUCCUUUGGACUUGUGGUUUUGCCAGAUAGGUGGCAGUGAUUUCGGGAAGGAGGGUUGCUUUUGUCCUGGGUAUGGGUGUGUUUCAAAGUCCUCCGGGCACAGUUGGGAGCAGGGGCCAGCCUGGCUGCGUUUGCCCUGACUCUGUUGGUUGCCCCUCUGCAUGCACAUGCAUUUUUGAUGACAGAUCAUUCAGGAAAUGUGAAUGUUUCCCUGGGAGGCUUUGCUUUUUUCACCUGGCCUUCUUUUCUGGGCCUCCUGUGGGGCUGCCCUUUCCCUUCCUUUGAAGCCAUUGUCUUCUUGACAUGAAAAAUGUACUCAGGUACGCUUAUGGCUAAUUAUCUCAAGGGGGAAGAAAAAACAAAAUGAACUCAAGGCUGAAAUAUAGAACCAUUAACUCUGUAAACUCUGAAAAGUCAUAAGACACUUUUUUAAAAUUAAAAAAAUACAUAUACAUUUGAAAUAGUUUCUUCUUAAACAGAUAAACAGAAUUAACUUGGGAUGUUUCCUACACAAUUUAGCUUCCUUCUCUCUCCCUCCACUCCCACCCCAGAUAGCUCACUUCCCUUUAUCAUCUCUGAUGCUGAUGAUGGGUGACAACAGUUAGCUGCACUGUACUCUGCCUCUAACUUAUUUUAUGACCUUGGAUAAGUUACAUGGCAUUUCUGAGCUUCUGCUUCUCAUAAGUAAGAUGACAUUGCUAUUACAUUUCUUUAAAACUUUUUUUAGUACUGUAAAACAAUAAUUUAUUACCUCUUGCAGUUCCAUGGGCUGACUGGACUCCACUGGGAGUUCUUGAUGUCUCUCGUGUGGUUGUGUGAGAUAGUGGCUGGGACUGGACUCAUCUGAAGGCUUGACUGGGCUGGAUGCCCAAGAUAGCCCACUUUUAGACAGAGGUGGCUGGCAGUUGAUGCUGACUGUCAGCUGGGGACUCAGCUGAGAGUGUUAACUGGAGUCCCUAGACGUGGCUUCUCCACAUGGCUUGGGCUUCUCAUGGAAGGGCACCUGGAUUCUGAGAGAGAGCAUCCCAAGAGACACAAGUGGAAAUGAUAAGGCUUCUUAUGACGUAGACUGGAGGUACUGAGACAUCACUUUUGCUACAUUAGAAGGUUAGAUGCUGACAUUUUAUGAUUUCACAACUUGGAUCCUCUGUCCUCUGAUACUGAAUCAGAUAGUAGUUUAUGGAGCUGAGCAGAGAGCCAGCUGGUCCUGGGCACAGAGGAGGCUGUGUUCCAUGCUGAAGACAAGAACAUAUGGUGGACGUACCAUCCUAACUAUCUGGGAAGGGAGCUUCGUGGCUACAUGGGAGUUAUCAUCUGCCAGUGCCGGCUGCAUCCUGGCUGUGCCCACCUCUGGACUCUGAAUCUCUGCACCUCAGUACCCCCAACCCCAACACGACUGUGAUGUUAGGCAUAUAUUAGGCAUGUGAAGAUGAGAAAGAGAAGAUACAGCUCCCAUGUUUAUCUCCAUGAGAAGAUAAGCCACAGGGAGAGAGAAAGACUGUUGUGCACGAGAGGGAGUGUCAAAUGCCAAAUGGAUGUCAGCAGUCGGGGUGUGCUAGAGGCACUCAGGGGAAGGGAGGCUGGGCAUAGAGGGUCAUGCUGGAGGAGGUGACUCUGGAUCUGAAUCUUGAAAGGUGAGUAGGAAUUACUCAAGGAAGGAAUGGGAAGGGCAUUUCAGGGGAGAGAUCCAUGUGAGUGAAAUAUGAGGACUGGCAGGGAACAGCAACCCACGUGGGUAACCGCAGAGUGACAGGAGGUGAGAGGUGGUGGGAGAUGGAGCUGGAGAUGCAGGCAGGGCCCAGGGUCAUGCAGGGCCUGGGAGGACAGGUUACAAUAUUCCCAUUUUCCUAGACUAGGACCUAGAAGCUCGGGAAGAUAAAGGGACUUGACUAAGGUCACAUAACUUGUAAGUGACCAGUCAGGCUUCGAACCCAGGACUCUGUGACGCCUCAGUCUCACCCCCUUUGCAUCAUCGUGUAAUGGCAGUUGCUGCUGCUGGUUUUCCCAGCUCCCUCUCCCAUUUCUCUGAGGCUCCUGGCAGACAAAGGGUGUUGCUUUUCUGCACCAUUUAUUGUAGUGACUUCAAUUAAACCAUCUUGUGCUGGAUCAGUGAGCAGCUCUAGGGAAUCGAUGAGCAGCACUGGCUACCAGGGAAGCAGAGUCUCCUCCCUUUGUUCCUGCCAAUCCUAGGUCUGGGUUCCUGUCCCCAGGUCUAGGGAGGACUCAAGAGAGGAAAUGGGGACCAGGGGGGCAGGUAGCAAAUCAUGAGACAAGGAAGCAAGUGUCUAUUACCUUCCUGACAUUGAGGGUGGGUGGCCAGCCCUUGGAUGUUCAUCUUUCCUGGCCCUGCCCACUGCUGCCCUUGCUCAGCUGCCUUCCUCUGGCUAAUUGGGACCUGCAGCUGCAGCUCCAAGACAAUGGGGCAUCCCACCUGGCUGCCUUCGGUGCAGGCCCAGUGUGCAAGGAACCUGGGCCCCAAGGAAGAGGAGCUAAGGGCCCUGUCCUAACUUGCUACAUGGCCUUUGGCAGAUUGCCUCCACUCUCUGAGGCUUCUUCUGGGGAAAAACAACAGGGUGGAAAUUGCAGUACAUGAUGCUGUUGUUCUCCACUUGUCGUCUUCAAUUCAUUGUCUCUCCUUCUUAGAAUUGCUCUGUGCCUCAGAAGGCUGAUCCCUGUGGAAUGAAUCAAUGGGUUCCUGUGUCUAUUGGCUCCAGUAUGAUUUGGCCACUGGGAGACACAGGCAGGAGGCUGGAAAGUGGGAGAGUAUUUCUUCUCUGCUACCUCUCUGCUUUGAUGCAGGGUUGGGCCAGUGCCAUUCUGCCUGGCUAUAGCUUCUUUCCAGCAGUCCUUCCCACUGCUCCAGGCCUCAGUGGGCUCCAGUAACCUUCUUUAGGCCCAUGGGUGGUUUCCAGCAUGAUAUGGUUUGGAUCUGUGUCCCUGCCCAAAUCUCAUGUGGAAUUGUAAUCCCCAUUGUUGGAGGUGGGGCCUGGUGGGAGGUAAUUGGAUCAUGAGGGCAGUUUUAAUGCUUAAGCACCAUUCCCCUAGUGCUGUUCUCAUGAUAGGGUUCUCAUGAGAUCUGGUUGUUUAAAAGUGUGUAGCACCUCCACCCUCUCUCUCUUCCUCCUGCUCUGGCCAUGUGAAUGCCUGCUCUGGCUUUGCCUUCUGCCAUGAUUAUAAGUUCCCUGAGGUCUCCCCAAAAGCAGAUGCUGCCAUGCUUCCUGUACAGCCUGUGGAACUGUGAGCCAAUGAAACCUCUUUUCUUUUUUUUUGAGACACAGUCUCGCUCUGUGGCCCAGGCUGGAGUGCAGUGGCAUGAUCUCGGCUCGCUGCAACCUCCACUUCCCGGGUUCAAGUGAUUCUCCCACCUCAGCCUCCUGAGGAGCUGGGAUUACAGACACUCCCCACCAUGCCUGGCUAAUUUUUGUAUUUUUAGUAGAGAGAGGGUUUCACCAUGUUGGCCAGGCUGGUCUCGAACUCCUGACCUCAAGUGAUCUGCCUGCCUCCGCCUCUCAAAGUGCUGGGAUUACAGGCAUGAGCCACCAUACCCAGGGCCUCUUUUCUUUAUAAAUAACCGAGUCUCAGGUAUUUAUAGCAAUGCGGCAACACACUAAUACACAGCAGUUUGCAGUCUCUGGGUUUCUCAAUAUUCUUCUUGGUUUCUUUAAUCUAGCCUUCUGUAAAUAGUACCUCCUCAGUAAGGUCUCUUCAGUUGAACUAUUUGAGCAGAGUUCUGUUUCCUGUUGGGACACUGAUGUAUUCUCUGAAGGCUCUUUCCAACUCUGAAGUCUUACACGUUCGUGAGGGGACGAUGUAACGACCUGGCUGACUCUCAGGCACCGGAGCCUGGGUUAUCCCGUGACAGUUUACAGGCUGAGUGAUCCCAGCUCCUCGGUAGUUCUUUCUUCCCCUCCUUUGGUCCUCAACCUUCACAGCCUUUGCUCAGAUUCCCAUCAUUUAUUUCUUGUUUUAAUCCGACUUUAUUGAGGUAUAAAUUACAAAUAGCAAACUACAUCCAUGAAAGUAUACAGUUAGAUGAAUACCUAUCUGUUAAAGCUUGAAUGUUUGUGUCCCUCUAAAUUCAUGUUGAAACUUAAUCCCCAUUGUGGUGGUAUUAACAGGUGGGGCCUUUUGGGAACUGAUUAAGUCAUGAGGGUUCUUCCCUUGGGAAUGGGAUUAAUGCUCUUGUAAAAGAGGCUUCAGAGGCUGGGCGUGGUGGCUCACGCCUGCAAUCUCAGCACUUUGGGAGGCUGAGGUGGGCGGAUCACAUGAGGUCAAGAGUUCAAGACCAGCUGGCCAACAUGGUGAAACCCCGUCUCUACUCAAAAUACAAAAAUUAGCUGGGCAUGGUGGCAGGCACCUGUAAUCCUAGCUACUCAGGAGGCUGAGGCAGGAGAAUCACUUGAACCUAGGACACGGAGGUUGCAGUGAGCCUAGAUUGUGCCAUUGCAUUCCAGCCUCGGCAACACGAGCAAAACUCUGUCUCAAAAAAAGAGGCUUCAGAGAGCUGCCUGGCCCUUCUCAUCCUUCUGCCAUGUGAAGACAUAGCGUGCAUCCCCUCUGGAGGGUAUAGGAACAAGGUGUCAUCUUGGAAGGAGAGAGCAAGCCCUCACCAGACACCAAAUCUACCGGCACCUUGACCUCCAGAACUGUCCUGUUGUGCCCAACUCAUGAUUUAUCCAGGUCACACCAGUCUGGUCUGUCACAGUAAGAGGGCACCAUCACAUACACUAUAAUAUGAAUCAUGACCCCCGGAGUUGUGUGGAGUUUCUGCAUCUCUCCCUCCCCACUGUGGCUACCCUCAUCCAGCAACCAUCCUGUCUCUCACCGGUAUUACCGCAGCUGAGACCCAGGUCUUAAGGAAGCUGAGACCCAGGCCAGCAGGGGCCUCACAGCUUGGAAAAAGAGGAGGGUGUAAGACUCUGGAUGAAGCUGAGAGAUCCUUCCAUGCUUGGCUGAGAGACUACACAGACAUGAGCUUCAGGAGACUCCAAAGCCUCGGAUCCCCUUCUAAACUAGCACUGAAUUCUGAUUGGCUGUCUUUGCCUGCCUCAGUUUGUUCCUUUUACUGAUUGGCUAGGUUCUUCUGCCCAUGGCAGAGCCCUGCUCCAGCCACCGGAUCCUCCCACCUGCCACAGUGUCACCUGGGAUUGGCUGGGCUCUGAAAGGCCAGGCUGGCUUGACUCUUGCCAUCAUCAGAUUCUUCCUCAUUAAACAAAUGAAUCACAAUCCUAAUUAAUUUGAGCAACAGAAUUUAUGUAACUACUCCCAGCAGGAUGUCUGCUCUCAGUCAGCAGAGAGAUUACUUCCUCUCUCUGGGAAAUUCCAGCCUUGCUGGUCAAUAAGCCUUAAUGAUGACUGAAAUCUCCCAUCUGUCUCUGCUCAGGGCAGGUAACCCCUACUAAGCAGACACCCAGUUGGCUCGAGGCAGUACCCCGGGCACCGGCAGGACAAGGACAACGAUCUCCCAGCCUAGAUGUGUCCUGAGCCACAUGGAGCACACAGUAGGUGUUUACUUAAGGACAGGGGCUGCCCCUUCCAGGGAAGUUCUGAACCACUUAAAACCCACAGGAAGUGUUCAAUGUCUACUUAUGGAAUAAAUGAAAGGGAGGAUGUGUCACUCAGAUACUUAUAAAAUGGUCUCAAGAUCCUAAACUCCAAGCAAGCUUCUCCAGCUCUUUCCAGCCUUUGCUCCCCCUAUUUCCCAUGACCAUAACCCAAUUCUGUCUUUUUCCUAUUUUGAACUUUCCAGACUCAGAAAUUUGGCUCUUCAUGUUCCCUGCCCUUGAACCGUCCCAGCCCUCUCUCCAAAACAGGCUUCAUGCUGGCUGCAUGGGAGGGAGGGGUAGCAAAGUGGAAAGUGUUACAGAAUUAGUGCUAAUUCUGGCUUUGUCACUUACUCAUUGUACUUCACCUCUCUGUUCUUAACUUUUCUCUCAUACAUAAACCACACGGGGUUCUUGGGAAGAUUAAAUAAGAAAACAUGGUGAAAAUGUAUUGCACAGUACUUGACUCAUUUAAUUGGUGACAGACAGUGUUUUAGGUAAUGGAGAUACAGUGGUGCUCAAGGCAGGCAAGAUUCCUGCUCCCAAAGAAUUUAAUUUCCAGGAGACAAGAAGCAAGCUAGCAAAUGUAUAAGAUAAUAGUUAGGGAACAGUACUCAGCAAAAAUAAAAAAUGUAUGGAGAGGGACUGAGGGGAGUGAGGAACUCUUUGAGGAGGUGCCACUCUGAGACCCAAAUGACAAGAAGGAAUUAACCACAUGACAUUCUAGAAAGAGGGAAAAGAGUUGCUGUUAAGAAGAUGUGGGUGUGUUAAAAAAAAAUUGCAAAGUCCCUUAGGUACGAUUGAGCUGCUAAUGAUCAAUCUGAGGCUUCUGCUCUGUGUCUUAUAGGUAAACGGGGUAAGGUUUGGUAGGACUGAAAAAUUCAUCCAGCCACCUAUCUAGGGGGUGUGAGGGUCAAGAUGUGGACCCAGGUCUUCUGCCCUUAAGAGCAGAGUGCUUGUCACUACAGCACAAAGAAGGUGCAAGAGAAAGGAAAAGUGAGUGGGAGGCGGUGAGGGAGGAACAGACUGCCUUGUCCUCCACCAGAUCUAAAUCUGUCUCCUCCUGAUGGUUGGCAGGAUUACAGGAUCUGACUCCCAUUUGGGCCUUCCACCUCCGCUGGCCUAAGCAGUCAAGUGUCAGAGAGCACUGGACCUAACAGCUCCCUCACCAGAGCAGCUGUGAUUCCUUCUUCAUUUCCAGCAGGGAAGACCCAACAACUUUUAUAAUAUGGGAUUUCUUUUAUUCUCAUGAUAAUAAUGUUCAUUGUGGAAAAUAAAAAAAAAUGAUAAAAUAAAAAUCAGCCAGAAUUCCAACUUCUGGAGAUUUUGGUGUCUUUCUGCAAAGUUCCUAUGCACAUAGAUACUUUAUAAAAUUAUGAACAUACUGUACAUACAGUUUUGGAAUAUGCCUUUUUCCUUCUGUCAUGAAAAAGUCUUCAAAUGCCUUUUAACAGCUACACAAUAGUUCACUACAUGAACCAACUCAAAUGUAACUAUUUUUGGCCUUUUGUUAUAAAUAACACAAGAACCCUCAGUCUUUGUUACAUAAUGUCCUAACAGAGUAGGGGAAAUGCUCCCCAAUCCGGUGCAAUGUCCUGUGCCCAGGGAAACCAAUU